rnacentral:rRNA from 1 species
GACGGAAGGUGCAAGCGUUGCUCGGAAUCACUGGGCGUAAAGGGUGCGUAGGCGGCUUGGUGGGUCUGGUGUGAAAGCCCCGGGCUCAGCCCGGGAAGGGCGCUAGAAACUGCCGAGCUCGAGUGCCGGAGGGGAGAGUGGAAUUCCUGGUGUAGCGGUGAAAUGCGUAGAUAUCAGGAGGAACACCGGUGGCGAAGGCGGUUCUCUGGGCAUUACCUGACGCUGAGGAGCGAAAGUGUGGGGAGCGAACAGG